CAGCUCCACAGGAAUCCUCACAGAUGUGUUUUAACUUUAAAUCUGCAAUGGCUUCCACAAGUUCACCUGGAACCUCCAAAUCUAAGCACCUUUGACUGGGAGGCAAUUUAUGGAGAGACUGCUGAGAAGGCUUCAGGAAGUUCUGCAACGUCAGCCUGUGGAUUUUGACUAUUUACACUUUUACACAGUGUUUUACACUUACACUGUUUUAAGUCACGAAAUGGGACUUGUACCCUUUUGCAUAGGCCAGUAGACAUUAACCCUCAUAUGCAUUAUCAUUGCAUUUACUGUAAUUUGUUAUGCAAUAUAGAGUCAAAUUCUUACUUGAAUAUAUAUAUAUAUAUAAUAUUGUUAUUCAUUGAAAAGGUACAGCUUUAACUGUUUUGCUGGAGUCCAUACUGUAAAUGCAUGUCAUUUCAAAAACUGUUAAGGAUUAAAAUCAGUACUACAUAUAAA